ACGGGUUCCUUAUUGCAUCAUUUAGGAAUUAGUUUUAUUACAACCUGCAGUCUAACCUAAAUCAUUGCGGCAGCUGCCCUUUGCUUUCCGCCGUCUGGAAGCCCUGUGACAAAAUGCAGCAAUCUUGGUUAGGGCGUUUUGAAAAUUUCCAUGGCUGUGCUCUUGAAUGUGUAUUUGAAAAAUGAAGACUUUGUAACUUGAAUACAUUUGCUGAUGAAAAGAAAUUUUACUUAUGUAAGUUUGCAUAGACAGACAGAUACACGGAAUUUAUAGUUUCAGUUAAUAGGGUAUUCAGUAAUAGUAUUAUGGUGCUAGCACUGUACUUUUAUCUCAAAGAAGCUGCAAAAACUCGUUUUUUUCAGUUAGUGGAAAUACGUUUAAGUGUUUUCCAUUAAAAUAUGUAUAUAUUUAUUCAUUGAGGUUAGUUCAAACACCUUGUAUGAAACAUCAUUGCAAAUUAUAAUUGAGAGCUAAAGUAUAUUGAUAUUUCUUGGCAAUCUGAGAAAAAAAGCUCUACUGACACUCUGAAUGUGGCUAUUUUUGGUGGUUAUAAAAAAGUUGAGUUUUUCUUUUUCAUUUUCCCUUUGUAACGGAAGGCUUGGCAAAUAUACAUAUGUUGCAUUUUCACUAAUCUAUUAAUCAAGUUUGAAUUUGGAUGAAUCAUCUAGAAGCAUAUUGAACCAAUUGCCCACCUCUUUGAUUUUUAAUUGCUAUGAUAGCUUUUAUAUCUUCUGCUUUCAGGUUAAAAAAACAACCCAAGUUGUGAAGGAUGCGCCAGUGUACUGUUUCCUGGUCUUGGUGCCCCCGCCCCUGGUUUGGGGAGCAGAGGUGCAGAGAGCAGUCCUGCCCGCCACAAGAUGGCGCUGUGCAGAUAAGGCCCCCCAACCUGGAGCAGCCUCACCCAGAGCCAAGUCCCUGGAGGCGGGUCCACUGCCAGCCAUCCCCGUCCAGGCACGUCUUGCUUAGCAACGCACAGGCCUGCUGAUGCUGACACCUGGUCGGAGGAGAGCAGCUCCACGCCCACCAACGAUGGGAAUAAAUUCCUGUGCCAGACGAGAAGGAAGCA
rnacentral:lncRNA from 1 species